GAUGAAGAACGCAGCGAAAUGCGAUAAGUAAUGUGAAUUGCAGAAUUCAGUGAAUCAUCGAAUCCUUGAACGCACAUUGCGCCCGUCAGUAUUCUGGCGGGCAUGCCUGUUCGAGCGUCAUUACGCCCCUCAAGUCCCCUGUGGACUUGGUGUUGGGGAUCGGCGAGGCUGGUUUUCCAGCACAGCCGUCCCUUAAAUUAAUUGGCGGUCUCGCCGUGGCCCUCCUCUGCGCAGUAGUAAAACACUCGCAACAGGAGCCCGGCGCGGUCCACUGCCGUAAAACCCCCCAACUUUUUAUAGUUGACCUCGAAUCAGGUAGGACUACCCGCUGAACUUAAGCAUAUCAAUAAGCGGAGGA
rnacentral:misc_RNA from 1 species